AUUUACAAGACAAAAUCAAAGAAAACCAUGACAGCUGCUUCUUGCUCAAAGGCAAAAAUCCCAGAAACAGUUAUUGGGAUGAGACUUAUCCUCUUCUUUCUCCACUAAUGUGCUGACCUCGCAAACCAAUUCUAUUAUAGAAAAGGGGAGUACAAUCAAUGAGAUUGAACCUCAAAACUCAAGCACACUUUUUAAACAUGUAUGCACAAUCUAGCCAGUCAAUAUUUACAUUUCAUAAUUUAAAGGAAAAUUCGAUGCCAUUAAGUGGGAUCCUCCCGAUAACCACCCAACUAAUUGAUUUGGCAUGCAUUUGUACAAAUGCAUAUAGAUUCCCUCAUUUCCUUCUAAUUCAAUAUUCAUAUAAAACAGAAAUUCUACUGCAGAAUUUUAGCACAUUAGCAAAUGGGCAAUAAUUGUCUUUCUGCUGAACCACAAGACAAUAAUUAUCUUGGGGACAAAUUAACAGAGAAAUCAGUAUGUAACCAUUUAUUACACUCAAAUCAACAUAUAAAAGUAAGUAAUCAUGCUCAUACAUAUGCAUGUUUAUAAUUUACAUUAACUUUUUAUGAGCAAAAUUCCAGAGACAUUGACUAAUAUGAUUAAACUAGCUGGUUUUCCAACAUAUUGCAAUUUUGUUCUAUAACAGCUAAGAACAAAAAGGGGUGCACACUAAGGUUCCAUCUGUAACCACCAACACAUAUCGGUAAAUUUAAGAAAUAUUAGGUAUGUAACCAAGAUCUUGUCAAAUCGGAUAUUGUUAUAAACCACAUAUUAUCAAACCAACUUUGUAACGCCCACACCCUUGUAUUAGCGUGAAUAAUAACAUUUAUAAUACAAUAAGCGUUGAAAUUUGACGGAAAGACUAGAAUACUCUAGUUAGUCUAAGAACCUAUUUGGCAUUGCUAUUGAAACUGU
rnacentral:misc_RNA from 1 species